rnacentral:misc_RNA from 1 species
CAACCCUCAGGGCCCGUCCGCGGGACCUGGCGUUGGGGAUCGGCCGCGCCCACAGAGGCCGGCCGGCCCCGAAAUACAGUGGCGGUCACGUCGCGACCUCCCCCGCGUAGUAGAAAUCACCUCGCGGCGGGAAGGCGGCGCGGCCACGCCGUGAAACCCCCUACUUCUCAAGG